AUUGAACGCUGGCGGCAGGCCUAACACAUGCAAGUCGAGCGAGCGGCGGCCGGGUGAGUAAUGUAUGGGGACUGCCUGAUAGAGGGGGAUAACUACUGGAAACGGUGGCUAAUACCGCAUCCUAUCGGAGAAACCAUAUGGGAUUAGCUAGUAGGUGGGGUAAAGGCGUACCUAGGCGACGAUCGCUAGCUGGUCUGAGAGGAUGAUCAUCCACACUGGGACUGAGAAACGGCCCAGACUCCUACGGAGGCAGCAGUGGGGAAUAUUGCACAAUGGGCGCAAGCCUGAUGCAGCCAUGCCGCGUGUAUGAAGAAGGCCUUAGGGUUGUAAAGUACUUUCAGCGGGGAGGCGUUACCCGCAGAAGAAGCACCGGCUAACUCCGUGCCAGCAGCCGCGGUAAUUC
rnacentral:rRNA from 1 species